AAAAUAAGUUCUUUUGGACUCUGAGAAAAGGCAAAAUCAUAAGUUCAACUAAUCUGUACCAGAAUCUAAAAUCCUAGAUGAAUUGGCCCUUGGAUAUGGUUUCAAAGCGGCUUUGCACUUGGCAGGUCUUGGUCACUAAGGAAAUGAUCAUAUCUUGAGUGACAGCCCAAUAGUCCUUAAGCACAGGGGCACACACCAAUUAGGAAGAUGAUAGUUUGAUUUAACAGACAAACUCUUAAAAAUGUCCAACUCACUCACCGUUAGAAGUCUACCUUCAAUAUG
rnacentral:misc_RNA from 1 species